AUGUAGCAUACAUGGCGUACUGCUCAGUAACACGUGGAUAACCUGCCCUUGGGUCCGGCAUAACCCCGGGAAACUGGGGAUAAUUCCGGAUAACGCACAUAUGCUGGAAUGCUUUCUGCGUAAAAUGGAUUCGUCUGCCCAAGGAUGGGUCUGCGGCCUAUCAGGUAGUAGUGGGUGUAAUGUACCUACUAGCCUACGACGGGUACGGGUUGUGAGAGCAAGAGCCCGGAGAUGGAUUCUGAGACAUGAAUCCAGGCCCUACGGGGCGCAGCAGGCGCGAAAACUUUACAAUGCGGGAAACCGUGAUAAGGGGACACCGAGUGCCAGCAUCAUAUGCUGGCUGUCCAGGUGUGUAAAAUACACCUGUUAGCAAGGGCCGGGCAAGACCGGUGCCAGCCGCCGCGGUAACACCGGCGGCCCGAGUGGUGAUCGUGAUUAUUGGGUCUAAAGGGUCCGUAGCCGGUUUGGUCAGUCCUCCGGGAAAUCUGACAGCUUAACUGUUAGGCUUUCGGAGGAUACUGCCAGACUUGGAACCGGGAGAGGUAAGAGGUACUACAGGGGUAGGAGUGAAAUCUUGUAAUCCCUGUGAGACCACCUGUGGCGAAGGCGUCUUACCAGAACGGGUUCGACGGUGAGGGACGAAAGCUGGGGGCACGAACCGGAUUAGAUACCCGGGUAGUCCCAGCCGUAAACGAUGCUCGCUAGGUGUCAGGCAUGGCGCGACCGUGUCUGGUGCCGCAGGGAAGCCGUGAAGCGAGCCACCUGGGAAGUACGGCCGCAAGGCUGAAACUUAAAGGAAUUGGCGGGGGAGCACAACAACGGGUGGAGCCUGCGGUUUAAUUGGAUUCAACGCCGGA
rnacentral:rRNA from 1 species